rnacentral:rRNA from 1 species
GAUGAACGCUGGCGGCGUGCUUAACACAUGCAAGUCGAACGGAAAGGCUCCUGCUUGCAGGGGUACUCGAGUGGCGAACGGGUGAGUAACACGUGGGUGAUCUGCCCUGCACUUCGGGAUAAGCCUGGGAAACUGGGUCUAAUACCGGAUAGGACGAUGGUUUGGAUGCCAUUGUGGAAAGUUUUUUCGGUGUGGGAUGAGCUCGCGGCCUAUCAGCUUGUUGGUGGGGUAAUGGCCUACCAAGGCGUCGACGGGUAGCCGGCCUGAGAGGGUGUACGGCCACAUUGGGACUGAGAUACGGCCCAGACUCCUACGGGAGGCAGCAGUGGGGAAUAUCGCACAAUGGGCGCAAGCCUGAUGCAGCGACGCCGCGUGGGGGAUGACGGCCUUCGGGUUGUAAACUCCUUUCGCUAGGGACGAAGCGCAAGUGACGGUACCUGGAGAAGAAGCACCGGCUAACUACGUG